UACGUAGGGGGCGAGCGUUGUCCGGAAUUACUGGGCGUAAAGGGUGCGUAGGCGGUCUUACAAGUCAGGGGUGAAAUGCUACGGCUCAACCGUAGUAAGCCUUAGAAACUUAUUGGCUUGAGUGCAGGAGAGGAGAGUGGAAUUCCUAGUGUAGCGGUGAAAUGCGUAGAUAUUAGGAGGAACACCAGUGGCGAAGGCGACUUUCUGGACUAUACCUGACGCUGAGGCGCGAAAGCUAGGGGAGCGAACAGG
rnacentral:rRNA from 1 species